rnacentral:rRNA from 2 species
GUCGCAAGACCAAAGUGGGGGACCUUCGGGCCUCAUGCCAUCAGAUGUGCCCAGAUGGGAUUAGCUAGUAGGUGGGGUAACGGCUCACCUAGGCGACGAUCCCUAGCUGGUCUGAGAGGAUGACCAGCCACACUGGAACUGAGACACGGUCCAGACUCCUACGGGAGGCAGCAGUGGGGAAUAUUGCACAAUGGGCGCAAGCCUGAUGCAGCCAUGCCGCGUGUGUGAAGAAGGCCUUCGGGUUGUAAAGCACUUUCAGCGGGGAGGAAGGCGAUAAGGUUAAUAACCUUGUCGAUUGACGUUACCCGCAGAAGAAGCACCGGCUAACUCCGUGCCAGCAGCCGCGGUAAUACGGAGGGUGCAAGCGUUAAUCGGAAUUACUGGGCGUAAAGCGCACGCAGGCGGUCUGUCAAGUCGGAUGUGAAAUCCCCGGGCUCAACCUGGGAACUGCAUUCGAAACUGGCAGGCUAGAGUCUUGUAGAGGGGGGUAGAAUUCCAGGUGUAGCGGUGAAAUGCGUAGAGAUCUGGAGGAAUACCGGUGGCGAAGGCGGCCCCCUGGACAAAGACUGACGCUCAGGUGCGAAAGCGUGGGGAGCAAACAGGAUUAGAUACCCUGGUAGUCCACGCCGUAAACGAUGUCGAUUUGGAGGUUGUGCCCUUGAGGCGUGGCUUCCGGAGCUAACGCGUUAAAUCGACCGCCUGGGGAGUACGGCCGCAAGGUUAAAACUCAAAUGAAUUGACGGGGGCCCGCACAAGCGGUGGAGCAUGUGGUUUAAUUCGAUGCAACGCGAAGAACCUUACCUGGUCUUGACAUCCACAGAACUUUCCAGAGAUGGAUUGGUGCCUUCGGGAACUGUGAGACAGGUGCUGCAUGGCUGUCGUCAGCUCGUGUUGUGAAAUGUUGGGUUAAGUCCCGCAACGAGCGCAACCCUUAUCCUUUGUUGCCAGCGGUUAGGCCGGGAACUCAAAGGAGACUGCCAGUGAUAAACUGGAGGAAGGUGGGGAUGACGUCAAGUCAUCAUGGCCCUUACGACCAGGGCUACACACGUGCUACAAUGGCAUAUACAAAGAGAAGCGACCUCGCGAGAGCAAGCGGACCUCAUAAAGUAUGUCGUAGUCCGGAUUGGAGUCUGCAACUCGACUCCAUGAAGUCGGAAUCGCUAGUAAUCGUAGAUCAGAAUGCUACGGUGAAUACGUUCCCGGGCCUUGUACACACCGCCCGUCACACCAUGGGAGUGGGUUGCAAAAGAAGUAGGUAGCUUAACCUUCGGGAGGGCGCUUACCACUUUGUGAUUCAUGACUGGGGUGAAGUCGUAACAAGGUAACCGUAGGGGAACCUGCGGUUGGAUCACCUCCUUA